UGUAUGUAAAUGCAUGUCAUAAAUAUAAAGUCAUUGUUUUAUAUUACAUUUAUACAAUAGAAAACAUAGAAUGGAAUAUAUCUUUUUUGAACAUAUCAUCAGCUAGAUUUAGUUUGUAAUAUUUAUUAUUUUAUGAUAAAUUAAAUUUUUUUGAAAACGCGUUUUUACACUGAAAGCUUCAUGGAUGCCACUGUUAGUUUGAUCAUUUCAUAUUUUAUACUUUUAUCUUUUUUCACAUUUUAGGAGCAGGUUUAAUUAUUGUUUUUUAAAUUAUUGAACUUUGUUUGAAUACAAACAUUACAGACAAAAAUCGAUAUAAAAUUAAAACAAAAGACAGACUAGUAUCAGGUUUGAGCAAAUAUAGAAACAAACCAUAAAUGUAAAAUGAAAACAAUCAUAACUAGAUAUUAAUAGAAACACAGACACAUAAAUAAUAAUGUAAAGCUACACAGUUAAACAUAUACAUUUAAGGCUUUUGUUGAUUUACUGAACGUUCCGAUCAAUGACGUAAUAUCCGGGGACGUUUGGUAGAAGGGGCGUGGCUUUCUUUGUUUGGCGGGAAAGUUCUUUGUGUUUCCCGUGCAGGGCGGAAACACGCGCUCGGUGGAGUGGAUUUAAUGGAGAAGCAGUGUUAGCAUCAUUAGCAUCACCAUGUCUCAGCCCAGACUCACGGACUUCUUCUCCCGCUCAAAGAGAGCCGCUGCGGCCCCGCGUAGAACCUCCAAGCCGCGGACACGCUCCUCCGUGCCUGCCGCAGACUGCUCCUCAGCGGCCGUCCACCAGGAGUUCCUCCGGGUGAUCGAAGAGGCCGCGGGCACGAAGCCCACCAAGGAGCUCUGCCUCCCGGCCUCUCCCAAGCGCUCUGCGGCGGACGCGACCUUUGACCUUGGAGCGGCCGUGUUUUCUGCCACCAUUGAGCACAGCACGGCUAAGAAACGGCGGCCCGCGGACCCCAAGGGUCCCAGACCGACCCCCGACCCCGCCUGUAAGAAGAAGUCUGCCCGGAAGAAGCUCGUCCUGCUGGGGGAUGUUCAGCAGGACAUGGCCCACCCUCUGGCCCUGGAGCAGCCCUCUGCACCAGCAGACCCCAGUACUCCACAGACCCAGGGUAAAGACCCCAGAAGAAGCUCCACGGUGAGUCAGCGUCACUUAUAGUUUUUAUAUAGAACAUAUGGAGGAACACAUGAGUCAUAAUUACAUCCAGACAAAACAAGAAAAGUAUCAUUUCCUUUAAUAAAGUUGAGAAUACAAACUAUGUAGUGCA
rnacentral:lncRNA from 1 species